GCAUAUCAAUAAGCGGAGGAAAAGAAACCAACAGGGAUUGCCUCAGUAACGGCGAGUGAAGCGGCAACAGCUCAAAUUUGAAAUCUGGCCCCCAGGGUCCGAGUUGUAAUUUGUAGAGGAUGCUUUUGGUGAGGUGCCUUCCGAGUUCCCUGGAACGGGACGCCAUAGAGGGUGAGAGCCCCGUCUGGUUGGACACCGAGCCUCUGUAAAGCUCCUUCGACGAGUCGAGUAGUUUGGGAAUGCUGCUCUAAAUGGGAGGUAUAUGUCUUCUAAAGCUAAAUAUUGGCCAGAGACCGAUAGCGCACAAGUAGAGUGAUCGAAAGAUGAAAAGCACUUUGAAAAGAGGGUUAAAAAGUACGUGAAAUUGUUGAAAGGGAAGCGCUCAUGACCAGACUUGGGCUUGGCGAAUCAUCCAGCGUUCUCGCUGGUGCACUUCGCCUCGUUCAGGCCAGCAUCAGUUUGUCCCGGGGGAUAAAAGCUUCGGGAACGUGGCUGCUUCGGCAGUGUUAUAGCCCGCUGCACAAUACCCUGGGGUGGACUGAGGUUCGCGCUCCGCAAGGAUGCUGGCGUAAUGGUCAUCAGCGACCCGUCUUGAAACACGGACCAAGGAGUCGUCUUCGUAUGCGAGUGUUCGGGUGUCAAACCCCUACGCGUAAUGAAAGUGAACGCAGGUGAGAGCUUCGGCGCAUCAUCGACCGAUCCUGAUGUUCUCGGAUGGAUUUGAGUAAGAGCAUACGGGGCCGGACCCGAAAGAAGGUGAACUAUGCCUGUAUAGGGUGAAGCCAGAGGAAACUCUGGUGGAGGCUCGCAGCGGUUCUGACGUGCAAAUCGAUCGUCAAAUAUGGGCAUGGGGGCGAAAGACUAAUCGA
rnacentral:rRNA from 1 species